UCUUAUGAAGUUAGCGGCGGACGGGAGAAGUAACACGUGGGUAACCUGCCCAUAAGACUGGGAUUUACUCCGGGAAACCGGGGCUAAUACCGGAUAACAUUUUGAACUGCAUGGUUCGAAAUUGAAAGGCGGCUUCGGCUGUCACUUAUGGAUGGACCCGCGUCGCAUUAGCUAGUUGGUGAGGUAACGGCUCACCAAGGCAACGAUGCGUAGCCGACCUGAGAGGGUGAUCGGCCACACUGGGACUGAGACACGGCCCAGACUCCUACGGGAGGCAGCAGUAGGGAAUCUUCCGCAAUGGACGAAAGUCUGACGGAGCAACGCCGCGUGAGUGAUGAGAGGCGUUCGGGUCGUAAAACUCUGUUGUUAGGGAAGAACAAGUGCUAGUUGAAUAAGCUGGCACCUUGACGGUACCUAACCAGAAAGCCACGGCUAACUACGUGCCAGCAGCCGCGGUAAUACGUAGGUGGCAAGCGUUAUCCGGAAUUAUUGGGCGUAAAGCGCGCGCAGGUGGUUUUCUUAAGUCUGAUGUGAAAGCCCACGGCUCAACCGUGGAGGGUCAUUGGAUAACUGGGAGACUUGAGUGCAGAAGAGGAAAGUGGAAUUCCAUGUGUUAGCGGUGAAAUGCGUAGAGAUAUGGAAGGAACACCAGUGGCCGAAGGCGACUUUUCUGGGUCUGUACCUGACACUGAGGCGCGAAAGCGUGGGGGAGCAAAACAGGAUUA
rnacentral:rRNA from 1 species